AUAAAAAGAUUAAUGAGGAAAUUUUUAUAGCGGAAUUAUCUUUGUUUUAGUACUUUAAUGGAAAGUUUUUUAGAUUUAUAAUUAAAACCUAAUGGGGUUUAGUUUUAUUCAGGAAAAGAAAUUUUUAGAAUAUGUACUUUUUGUAUCAUGGUUUAUAGAGGUGUUAAAUUUAUAUUUAUUCCUGAAAACUUUAGAGCUAUUUAUUUUAUAAUUUUUAUGUUGCAUAAUAGGGGAUAAAAAAUAAAUAGAGGUGAAAUGCUAGUCGAAAAAGUUGAUAGCUGGUUAAAAGAGAAAUAUGUAUUCGCAUAGCGUAGAAGUUUUUGUUUAACUGAAUUUGUUAGGCGCAAUUUUUAUAGUUAGUUUUUCGGGGCUAAGCUCGUGAAAAUAUAAAGUUAGGAUGGAAGAAAGUAGGCUUGAAAUUAGCCAUCUUUUAAAGUUUUUUAUAAAAUAUUCUUUCUUUGUUUUUAUAUUCCAAUAUCUUUUUAUACCAAAAAAUUAUUUUGGUUAAAUUAGUAUAAAAUUAGUAGCAAAAAUGGUAGAAAUAUUAUUUAAAAAUUUAUAUAUGUUUUUUGUUAUUUUACUUAAAAUUAUCAUCAAGGAACUCGGCAAAUAUACUUCCCGCCUGUUUAUCAAAAACAUCGCCUCUUGGUUUUAAGCACAAGAGGUUGGGCCUGCCCGGUGAAUAACUAUUUAAACGGCCGCAGUGAAUAACUGUGCUAAGGUAGCGUAAUAAAUUGUCUCUUAAUUGGAGAAGGGUAUGAAUGGUUUAACGUGGUAGUAUCUGUCUCGGUGAUAAUAAGGUGAAGUUUUCUUUUGAGUUAAAAGACUUAAAUAUAAGUAAAAGACGAGAAGACCCUGUCGAGCUUGAUAAAAUUAUGGAAUGCUUUCAUAUAAUAAGUUUAGCUGGGGCAGCUGAAAACCAUGGAAUAGUUUUUUAUUACCUAAAGAUCCGGUUUUACCGAUUGUAAGAAAAAGCUACCGCAGGGAUAACAGCGUAAUCUUUUUUGAGAGAACUAAUUGAAGAAAAGGUUUGCGACCUCGAUGUUGGAUUAAAGUUUCUUUUUGGUGCAGCAGCUAAAAUAGUAGGACUGUUCGUCCUUUAAAACUUUACGUGAUCUGAGUUCAGACCGGCGUGAGCUAGGUCGGUUUCUAUCUUUAGUGAGAUUGCCAUUGUACGAAAGGAUCCGGUUUUCUAAAAAAAUUUUAUUUUUUAUAAAUUAACUUUUGA
rnacentral:rRNA from 1 species